GCCUCAACGACCAGCCUGAGAGCCAUGGCCAGUCCCACAAGUCCAAGUCCAUGGAUAGAGCCGUGAUGGAAACAAAGGAACACAUAGUGCAAAGAUGAAAAGAGAUUUUUAAAAAGAGAACAAAAGGGAGAACAAAGCAAAGUAAGCAGAAGAGACCCCAUCGCAGUGAAGCAGCUGCCCCUUGCAACGCGUGUCCCACUCACACUGGAGUCGCUUGCCUGGAUUCUGAGCAGCUCUCUGGCUAUCAGCACUGUUUAAAAUAUGACAACAUCUGACCUCAAGAUUUUCCUAUAGAAUACACUGGCUGACAGAAAGAUGUACUGUAGCGGGUCUUAAUAUUCUUUCUUUGGCACAGGGCUGUGAGACCAGGAAAGCAAUACGGGUGUAGUCAGGUGGAAAUAUCCAUAACCAUCAUAGCAGAAAAUACUCAGAUGCAAAAAAUGGAUUAUUUUUAGUAGAAGGAAACAAGUUAAAGAAAAGUAGAGAGAAGGUACCUUCAACCAAAUAACAUUUCACAGUGGUUAUGUAUUUUUUUGAAAUAGAAUUUUAUUUACUUAUUUCUGCUUCAGAGACAUUAUGUGGCCCUAUGGUCUAUGAAUAUCAUCUUAAUUGUUCUUUAACAUUUAAUUAAUAUUUACAUAAUUUAAUAUCUUCAUUUAAUAUUUACCCCAAAUGAGCCAGG
rnacentral:lncRNA from 1 species